rnacentral:rRNA from 1 species
GAUGCAGCCAUGCCGCGUGUAUGAAGAAGGCCUUCGGGUUGUAAAGUACUUUCAGUUGUGAGGAAGGGGGUGUUGUUAAUAGCAACAUCUCUUGACGUUAGCAACAGAAGAAGCACCGGCUAACUCCGUGCCAGCAGCCGCGGUAAUACGGAGGGUGCGAGCGUUAAUCGGAAUUACUGGGCGUAAAGCGCAUGCAGGUGGUUCAUUAAGUCAGAUGUGAAAGCCCGGGGCUCAACCUCGGAACUGCAUUUGAAACUGGUGAACUAGAGUACUGUAGAGGGGGGUAGAAUUUCAGGUGUAGCGGUGAAAUGCGUAGAGAUCUGAAGGAAUACCAGUGGCGAAGGCGGCCCCCUGGACAGAUACUGACACUCAGAUGCGAAAGCGUGGGGAGCAAACAGGAUUAGAUACCCUGGUAGUCCACGCCGUAAACGAUGUCUACUUGGAGGUUGUGGCCUUGAGCCGUGGCUUUCGGAGCUAACGCGUUAAGUAGACCGCCUGGGGAGUACGGUCGCAAGAUUAAAACUCAAAUGAAUUGACGGGGGCCCGCACAAGCGGUGGAGCAUGUGGUUUAAUUCGAUGCAACGCGAAGAACCUUACCUACUCUUGACAUCCAGAGAAUCCAGCGGAGACGCAGGAGUGCCUUCGGGAGCUCUGAGACAGGUGCUGCAUGGCUGUCGUCAGCUCGUGUUG